GACGAACGCUGGCGGCGUGCUUAACACAUGCAAGUCGAACGGAAAGGCCCUGCUUUUGUGGGGUGCUCGAGAGGCGAACGGGUGAGUAACACGUGAGUAACCUGCCCUUGACUGUGGGAUAACUUCAGGAAAAUGGGGCUAAUACCGGAUAGGAGCUCCUGCUGCAUGGGGGGGGUUGGAAAGUUUCGGCGGUUGGGGAUGGUCUCGCGGCUUAUCAGCUUGUUGGUGGGGUAGUGGCUGACCAAGGCUUUGACGGGUAGCCGGCCUGGGAGGUUGAACGGCCACCAUGCUCCUGCGAUACGCCCCAGACUCCUACGUGAGGCAGCAGUGGGGAAUAUUGCACAAUGGGCGCAAGCCUGUUGCAGCAACGCCGCGUGCGGGAUGCCGUCCUUCGGGUUGUAAACCGCUUUCGACUUUGACGAAGCGUGAGUGACGGUAAUGGGUAAAGAAGCACCGGCUAACUACGUG
rnacentral:rRNA from 1 species